rnacentral:rRNA from 1 species
UACGAAGGGGGCUAGCGUUGUUCGGAAUUACUGGGCGUAAAGCGCACGUAGGCGGGUAUUUAAGUCAGGGGUGAAAUCCCAGAGCUCAACUCUGGAACUGCCUUUGAUACUGGGUACCUAGAGUAUGGAAGAGGUGAGUGGAAUUCCGAGUGUAGAGGUGAAAUUCGUAGAUAUUCGGAGGAACACCAGUGGCGAAGGCGGCUCACUGGUCCAUUACUGACGCUGAGGUGCGAAAGCGUGGGGGAGCAAACAGG